AGUGAACGCUGGCGGUAGGCCUAACACAUGCAAGUCGAACGGCAGCACAGUAAGAGCUUGCUCUUACGGGUGGCGAGUGGCGGACGGGUGAGGAAUACAUCGGAAUUUACUUUUUCGUGGGGGAUAACGUAGGGAAACUUACGCUAAUACCGCAUACGACCUACGGGUGAAAGCAGGGGAUCUUCGGACCUUGCGCGAUUGAAUGAGCCGAUGUCGGAUUAGCUAGUUGGCGGGGUAAAGGCCCACCAAGGCGACGAUCCGUAGCUGGUCUGAGAGGAUGAUCAGCCACACUGGAACUGAGACACGGUCCAGACUCCUACGGGAGGCAGCAGUGGGGAAUAUUGGACAAUGGGCGCAAGCCUGAUCCAGCCAUACCGCGUGGGUGAAGAAGGCCUUCGGGUUGUAAAGCCCUUUUGUUGGGAAAGAAAAGCAGCAGGUUAAUACCCCGCUGUUCUGACGGUACCCAAAGAAUAAGCACCGGCUAACUUCGU
rnacentral:rRNA from 1 species